UUGCCUAGAGACAAGUCCCUGUGGCUUAGCGGAGAAGGAAACAUCUGUGGAGGUGGGUCGGCCACAGACUUUCACUUGUACUGUUUGUGGGAUCCUCAGCAUAAUCUCAUGAUGCUAGGAGAAUGCUGAUGUGAGCCAGCCUAAGGAAACCUCAAGCAGAGCCGCAGGAAUUCACUACGAAAUCUCUUAAGUGUCCAAAAGGAUCUGCAGGAUGCCUCAGGCCUACCUAGACUUUGCAGGGGUGAAGUUGCAGGACCCCAUCCACCCUUCACCAGUCUGUAUCUUCACCUGUUUCUGAACUUAUUGUGUCUCACACUGUAUGUGCCAGAAUGAAAUCCCAAGAUGAUGGAGAAGUGUCCCCUCACGAUGUGAAACACUUGAUCUCCUGGGAACCAAAUUUGAGGUGAAGGUGCAGGUCUGCAUCCAAACCUCACCAGAUUACAUCCUCACCCCAUCUGACCUCACUGCUGCUCACACUGUUUGUCCCAGAAUAAAAUCCCAAGAUGAUGGCGGAGUGCCCCCUCAUGACACGAAGCACCUGCUCUACUGCAAACC